rnacentral:ncRNA from 1 species
GCAGUAACCAUCAAUGAAUUUCGUAUAACCCUGCGGAUAGGGCGCGGGGGUCUCUACCAGGUUCCGCAAAAUCCUGAUUACGAAAACAGACCGGCCGCAU